CAGUAGCCGCGGGAAUACGUAGGGUGCGAGCGUUAAUCGGAAUUACUGGGCGUAAAGCGAGCGCAGACGGUUAUUUGAGCAGGAUGUGAAAUCCCCGGGCUUAACCUGGGAACUGCGUUCCGAACUGGAUAGCUAGAGUGUGUCAGAGGGGGGUAGAAUUCCACGUGUAGCAGUGAAAUGCGUAGAGAUGUGGAGGAAUACCGAUGGCGAAGGCAGCCCCCUGGGAUAACACUGACGUUCAUGCUCGAAAGCGUGGGUAGCAAACAGGAUUAGAUACCCCAGUAGUCCCUGUCUCUUAUAC
rnacentral:rRNA from 1 species